GGGAAUGGAAGCCUAAAUCCUACUUGAAGAAUGACUGAGUUAAGAGCAAUGCAUCCUUCUGGGGAAACGUCAGCUCGGUCAGACGGUUCUGGCAUUAUCAUGAUCACCAAACUCGAAAUGGCGUACUUAGCUCGCCAGCAUAUCACCCGUAACAACGAAUUUAUAAAAACUAGCCCCCCACUCACCUGAGUUAUUCCCCUGACUAACCUCGCGAGAUUCAGCCCUUUCUCCCCUCGAAUCCUCACUCCCCAACCUCAUACUCACGGGAUGUCCUAAGUCCAGUGGAUUAACUAUGGAAAGAGGGACUGGGUCAAGACUUCCUGACAACUGUACGAAGAAUUAGGAGAGGGUAGGACAGAUUCUUCUUGGUAAUUCCCCCAAGAAUGCACUCU
rnacentral:lncRNA from 1 species